UUUGGCACACAUACUCUGUUUCCAAACCUCAAUAUACCAUCUUUUGAUAGUCUAAAUUUGGCCUAAGUCCCUUACUGACAUCUUUCAUAAUCGACCUCAAGGUAAGAUCAAACUGCUGAGCUUCUCUAAUUUUUUGUAUCAAAAUAGGUUGUACUUUUAUAUUGGUUAGGUAUCCUCCUGAUCUCUUAUGUCGGGCAUUCAGAUUUAGUUUCUGGAACUCCUCU
rnacentral:lncRNA from 1 species